AAUUUUAGACAAUGGGGGCAACCCUGAUCUAGCCAUCCCGCGUGUAUGAUGAAGGCCUUCGGGUUGUAAAGCACUUUCAGCUGAGAAGAAAAGGUAGCUACCAGUACGAGAUACUGCGGACAGUAUCUUCAGAAUAAGCACGGGCUAACGAAGUGGCAGCAGCCGCGGUAAUACGGAGGGUGCAAGCGGUAAUCGGAAUUACUGGGCGUAAAGCGUACGUAGGCGGUUCGGAAAGAUAGAUGUGAAAUCCCAGGGCUCAACCUUGGAACUGCAUUUUUAACUGUCGGGCUAGAGUACGUCAGAGGGGAGUAGAAUUCCACGUGUAGCAGUGAAAUGCGUAGAUAUGUGGAGGAAUACCGGUGGCGAAGGCAGCCCACUGGGAUAAUACUGACGCUGAGGCACGAAAGCGUGGGGAGCAAACA
rnacentral:rRNA from 1 species